rnacentral:rRNA from 1 species
GCAAGUCGAGCGGAACGAUGGUAGCUUGCUACCAGGCGUCGAGCGGCGGACGGGUGAGUAAUACUUAGGAAUCUACCUAGUAGUGGGGGAUAGCACGGGGAAACUCGUAUUAAUACCGCAUACGACCUACGGGAGAAAGGGGGCAGUUUACUGCUCUCGCUAUUAGAUGAGCCUAAGUCGGAUUAGCUAGAUGGUGGGGUAAAGGCCUACCAUGGCGACGAUCUGUAGCUGGUCUGAGAGGAUGAUCAGCCACACCGGGACUGAGACACGGCCCGGACUCCUACGGGAGGCAGCAGUGGGGAAUAUUGGACAAUGGGGGAAACCCUGAUCCAGCCAUGCCGCGUGUGUGAAGAAGGCCUUUUGGUUGUAAAGCACUUUAAGCAGUGAAGAAGACUCUUCGGUUAAUACCCGGAGACGAUGACAUUAGCUGCAGAAUAAGCACCGGCUAACUCUGUGCCAGCAGCCGCGGUAAUACAGAGGGUGCAAGCGUUAAUCGGAAUUACUGGGCGUAAAGCGAGCGUAGGUGGCUUGAUAAGUCAGAUGUGAAAUCCCCGGGCUUAACCUGGGAACUGCAUCUGAAACUGUUAGGCUAGAGUAGGUGAGAGGGAAGUAGAAUUUCAGGUGUAGCGGUGAAAUGCGUAGAGAUCUGAAGGAAUACCGAUGGCGAAGGCAGCUUCCUGGCAUCAUACUGACACUGAGGCUCGAAAGCGUGGGUAGCAAACAGGAUUAGAUACCCUGGUAGUCCACGCCGUAAACGAUGUCUACUAGUCGUUGGGUCCCUUGAGGACUUAGUGACGCAG